UUUUUGCUGGCUUCCUUCAGUGGAUGGUCUGCUCCCCUUAAAUGCAUUAGCGGGAUCUCUUGUGGACCGUCACUUGGUGUGAUAAUUAUCUAUACCACGUUGACUUUGAAGCAAAACUUAUGGGAACCCGCUCAUAACCGUCUUCGGACAACUCUUGACAUUUUGACCUCAAAUCAGGCAGGACUACCCGCUGAACUUAA
rnacentral:misc_RNA from 1 species